GCCAGUGUGGUGUAAUGGUUUGAGCACUGGACUGCAACUCUAGAAACUAGGGUUUGAUUCCCAGCUCAGCCA